rnacentral:rRNA from 1 species
UACGUAGGGUCCGAGCGUUGUCCGGAAUUAUUGGGCGUAAAGGGCUCGUAGGCGGUCCGUCACGUCGGGAGUGAAAACUCGGAGCUCAACUCCGAGCCUGCUUCCGAUACGGGCAGACUAGAGGUAGGCAGGGGAGAGCGGAACUCCUGGUGUAGCGGUGGAAUGCGCAGAUAUCAGGAAGAACACCGGUGGCGAAGGCGGCUCGUCUGGGCCGUACCUGACACUGAUGCGCGACAGCAUGGGGAGCAAACAGG